rnacentral:rRNA from 1 species
CCUACGGGAGGCAGCAGUGAGGAAUAUUGGUCAAUGGACGCAAGUCUGAACCAGCCAUGCCGCGUGCAGGAAGACGGCUCUAUGAGUUGUAAACUGCUUUUGUACGAGGGUAAACGCAGAUACGCGUAUCUGUCUGAAAGUAUCGUACGAAUAAGAAUCGGCUAACUCCGUGCCAGCAGCCGCGGUAAUAGGGAAGAUUCAAGCGUUAUCCGGGUUUAUUGGGUUUAAAGGGUGCGUAGGCGGUCGGAUAAGUUAGAGGUUAAAUCCCGAGGCUCAACUUCGGAAUUGCCUCUGAUACUGUUCGGCUAGAGAGUAGUUGCGGUAGGCGGAAUGUAUUGUGUAGCGGUGAAAUGCUUAGAGAUCAUACAGAACACCGAUUGCGAAGGCAGCUUACCAAGCUACUUCUGACGUUGAGGCACGAAAGCGUGGGGAGCAAACAGGAUUAGAUACCCUUGUAGUC